AAUUCUUUCAGUUUUUCUACACUCAGAUCCUUUUCCAACGCAUUUAUCAUCAAAAGUUGGUGAUGAUUUGACAACUUUAAUUGGGGAAAGGUAUGAAAUUUCCCUCCAAAGUUAUGAAAAAGGUUGCUUUGAUAUAGUGGCAGGUAUAACCCAAUUCAAACGAAUUAUGGUAUAAGAGAUUUGCAAGCCCAACCAUGAUAGCCUUUUUUUUGUUUCCUCUCUCACUCUCUCUCUCUCUCUCAAGCUUUAGCAGUGAAGAAUCAUGCUCUUCUAGUGCAGUGAGGGGUGAAACGAUAAACAGUUCACCUCCAAAUCUAAUGCCUAGGAAGAGCAGAAGAAUAAAUAGUCAUUUGGUACGACCAGAAUGAAGUAUGAUCUGGACGAUGAUUUUGCCAAGGAAACACGUUGCAAAUACAGAGAUAAUCUUGGGCAACCAUCUGGAAAAUAUACGAGGACUCCAGUUUUGCACAAGUCAAGAGCAACCAAGCGUGCAAGCUAUUGUCUCCAAGGGGAAAUAGAACAAUCUCAGAAAUGGUUGCUUGAGGAAGGAUGCAAUUCAGUUGAUAUAGAUUUGGGUUUCAGUUCUUCCCAUUGCACCUCACAGGCAAACCUUCCAUCUGUAGGAUCCCGGCUGUGGGCUGAAGAUCCUAUUGGUGCCUUUCCUGUUCCCGAACUGAAUCUUGAUGUCAAAUCUUGAUUUAAUACACCUAAGCAGAGUGAAUCUAUUCACUGUUCGCCUUUUAGCUGUUUCACCUCUGAGAAGUUUGCUUUUUGCCAAUCAUUGAAUCACACUAACUCUUUUGAUUCUCCAGUAUUCUGGAUCAAUCAGGCGUGUCCUAUCUCCAGAUUCAGGAAGACAAGGUGUUCCUUUGGGUUUGUUUGAUGCUGGUCAGCAUAGAGAGAUCGGAUUUCUUGAUUUAUCAUCAGUACAAGGACGAAUUAAUGGAGACGAUAAAAGAAAACCAAAAUCCCCACCAGCCAACUGCGAACAGUUAGAAUUUGAAAUGGAAAAUUGCCUUGGAAAUGAUUUAUUAUUUUCAAAAGGAGCACAUAGUAAUGGGUGGUUCAAAUCCCAAUAGCAAGGAGGAUUUUCAAGUAAAAGAUGGAACUCUAGAAAAAAAGGGAGCCUUGGUGUGGAAACAUCAUCAUCUGUUAAGAUCCAUGAGAAAGGAGAGAGCCAAGGGUAACUAUAACCUACUCAGAAUUCAUCUUUCCAAUUUGCCAUCACUUUUUUUCCUUGCCCUCUGUCAAGUAAGAUGCUGAGAUAAGGCUUUUCAUUGCUGCUAGAUAUGAGUGAUGUAGAAAUUCCACUUCCUUGUAAAAGCGGGACAGAACAGAAUGUAUCUCUUCUUUUAAUAUAUAUACAUAUAUGCAUAUUAAAGUUUGAACUGCCAUUAGAUGUUUGCUUGAUGUUCUGGAUUCAUAUAUAACGUUUGAAUCAGAGCUCAAUGCAGGAACAGAAAUGAAAGGAAUCUAAGCAGGUGGGAAAGCUAGCUAUGUUGUUCAAUUUGUUUAGCUAGAGAAAGUUGCAAGGAAAUGAAAGGAAACAUUUGAUUAUGCCUUGCCUUGUACAUUAUUAUAACUUGAAAAAUGUCUGACUAGAAUAAAUACUAAUAGAGUUGGAGAUUGGGUAACAGGGAAUAACAGGGAAUGCUGAUUCUCUCUAAUCGUUACACUUUUAAGUAGCAGAAAAUGGUUAAGAGGCAACACUUUGUUUUGUUAACUGCCUAGAAUUCAACUACGCUCUUUUGCAAUUGCUAUUGCUAAUCCCAGCAAGUACUCCAUCUGUCAAUUAAAGGAAAAAACUUUAGGAAUUUGGAGAGAAGUCAAUCGUCUCAGCCCCGCCAUCGUCGUACCUUUCUUCUUCCUCCAAUCAAUAACUAUUUUUACUUUUUGGGGUUAAUUUUUAACGCUUCAAAUCAAAUAUUAAAAAGGUUUUUUUUUCUUCGUUAUUUAGCGAAGAAGAAAAAGAAAAGAAUGGGAGGUCCUUCAAGGCAGUGUCAAGUUUGCAACCAAGCUUAAUCCAAGUCUGUUCUCUAGCACGUUUCAAGACGCACAAAGAAACUCCCUGCAUGAAGCCGGAAUCCGUAAAUGAAAAAUCCGGAACUCACAGUGUGGAUUGAGGGUCCAGCAAUAGUGCUGUAACAACUAGGUUAAAGCGACAAUGCAGUGACCCCCAAUGUCAAGCCAGAAUCACCUAGGAAGAUCCACUUCUUCCAAUGAAGUCCGUGAAGCCUUGAAGGAUGAACACCUUCAAAAACUUAUCUCUGAUAUUGAUAACUCCCCAGAUGCAUUGAAUGUCAAUGAUGUUAUUCCCACUUGAAAAACAAGACCUGAGACUUAUUUUCCUUUUUGCUGGUGUUGUUUGUGUGCGUACUAAAUCGUGUUUUUACCUUUUGUUAGGAACUUGACAAAGCUAUUGGACUAGAUGUUUUCGCAUUUUUAGUGAUAAGAUUUUAUCCGCGAUCAAUCAAUGACCACAUAUCAUAAGUCCUCUGAAGUUCUUUCUUCGAAUACAUCGAUGCCAAUAUAUUUAUGUCCAAGUUUUGCUGCGAGCUCAGAUGAGAAGUCAUCCCACUGUCUCUGAGCCUGGUCAGUGGUCGAUGUUUCUGUAAGUAUAGUAUUUUGGUUAAUCGUUAUUCAUAUUAUUCUUGUGUUGUAUUAGUUUUCAUCUCGACGAAAAUGUCUGAUGGCCUUCAUGUCAUUUCUUUUUA